AAGCAUAUUAAUAAGCGGAGGAAAAGAAACUAACCAGGAUUCCCUCAGUAAGGGCGACUGAAGCGGGAAUAGCUCAGGAUGUGAAUCGGUGUUUCGGCACCGAGUUGUGGUCUAGAGACUCCCACGUUACAGGCCGGGCCAAGUCCCUUGGAACAGGGCGGCAGAGAGGGUGAGACCCCCGUUCGCCUGGCCUUUGGAGUGGGUGUCCAUGAGUCGAGUUGUUUGGGAUUGCAGCUCAAAGCGGGUGGUAAAUUCCAUCGAAAGCUAAAUAUUGGUGGGAAACCGAUAGCGUACAAGUACCGUGAGGGAAAGAUGCAAAGAACUUUGAAAAGAGAGUUAAAGAGUACCUGAAAUUGCUGAAAGGGAAGCGAAGGAAACCAGUGUUGGCUGUGUCAUAUUUUCUCGUCUGCUUGCAGUCGUGACGCUGUGGCAAGCCGUGUCUCGGUUGGUUGGGGUGAGUCCAACUGCGCAGGGGGAGUUGAUCCCUGUCUGCUGGACUUGUCGUGACUGAGUUGCGACGAAAUGGUUUUCUUCUCCCCGUCUUGAA
rnacentral:rRNA from 1 species